rnacentral:rRNA from 1 species
GACGAACGCUGGCGGCGUGCUUAAUACAUGCAAGUCGAACGGAAAGGCCCAGCUUGUUGGGUGCUCGAGUGGCGAACGGGCGAGUAACAAGUGGGUGAUCAGCCUCUCACUUCGGGAUAAGCUUGGGAAAGUGGGUCUAAUACAGGAUAGGAAAAUUGUUUAGUGUCGGUUGUGGAAAGUUUUUUCGGUUAGGGAUGAGCCCGAGGCCUAUCAGCUUGUUGGUGGAGUAAUGGGUUACCAAGGCGUCGACGGGUAGCCGACCUGGGAGGGUGGACGGCGACAAUGCUACUAAGGUACGGCCCAGACGCCUACGUGAGGCAGCAGUCGAGAGUAUUGCGCAAUAAGCGCGAGCCUGAUACAACGGCGCCGCGUGCGUGAUAACGUCCUUCUGGUUAUGAACCUCUGUCGACGUAAACGAAGCUGUGUUGACGGUACCUAUAUAGAAAGCACCGGCUAACUACGUG